ensembl:lncRNA
GGCAAACCCAAGACACAAAGUGUAGUGGGGAGGUUUUUAUUUCCUGUGCAUCAAAAACUGGAAAUCAAUGACGCUCCUGUACAUGGGGUGAAAAGAACUAAGAAAGGAAGACAACAAGGGACGACUGUACUGAUUUUCCUAGAUGGGCAAGCGCAUCGGAUGAAGUCUAGUUGUGAGUCAACAGCUAGGCUGGAGAAACAAAUGGAGGAGGUGGUAUUACCGAAGCCCAGGGCCAAGGUCCUCUCACAAGACCAUGGUAGACAUCUGGAGGACAAUGUCAUGGAGAAAAUGCAGCCACUUCAGGGAGCAUUAGGGGCCUAGAGGGGUAAGAAGUCACUUGAAUCUGUCUUCUUUCCACUCUCAUGGCUCCUACCAGUGCCUCCCACUGACUCAAGCCCACCAGAAUCAACUGUACUGGAGCCUGAGAAGCACAGCCUCUAAUACAGAACAGACCAAGAAAGAGAGUGAAUUCUAGAGCAACAAAACUGAUACACUUUUAUUAUUCUUUUUCAGCUUGACAAUAUUAUAUAUGUCUAAAUAGAAUAACUAGGGAAAUGAGAUAUGGAAGUCAACAAGUGAAAAAUCAACCCACA